rnacentral:lncRNA from 1 species
GUUUGAUGGGGUGUGUGGGCGGACGGGAGAGAGGGCAGAUCGUGGCGGCGGUGAGGAGGAGGCGGCUGAAGAGAAGGGGGGUAGGAAGGCGGCGGCGCUCGGUGGCGAUUGCAAAGGCUGCAAGACGGAGGUGGAUGGCGGUCGCGGCGCGGAGACGUCGCUGCGUGUGGAUGGCGGAGGAAGAUGGGAGCGGCGCUGCGAGAAGAUGGCGCACGAAGGAAGCACUCGGGUUCGGGAGGUGGGGGAAGAAUGCCGGCUAUCAGCAGCGUCGCAGCUGGUCCGGACGGCGCUGUGGUUGGCCGCGGGAAGGAGGCGCCUCGGUUGGUGGUGUCGCGGUUCGGUAACGGUGUGCGGACGCGGUCGGCGUAGGAGGUGCGGCUCGGCGACAAUGGGGGAUGGCGUGGCGGCGCGGCGUGGGCUCGGAUGACGGAGGAGAAGGCGAAGGCGGCAGAGAGCAGCACAGCGGAGGCGGUGGCAAUGGCGUCGGCGGCGGAAACCCUUAGGGUUUCCCUUCGACAGAAACAGAGGUAAGAAUCUUUUUUUUUGGACACGUGCAGGUCACGUGAUCCGACGGAUUUUUUUUUUUUGAACCUUAACGGGUUCGGGUUAUCGGGUUCGGGUUUCGAAUGAGACCCACUCCGAUAACUGUGAAACUCAGCACGUGCAG